UUUUUGUUGACAAAUUGAAGAGGAGGCUACACUUCCAAACUCAUGUUAUAGUGCCAACACUAACCUGAUGCCAAAGCUAAAUAAGGUCACUCAGAAAAGAAAACUACAGGC